GUUGUUCCCAGUGCCAUACAGUAGUCAUACUGUGUGAGGAAGGAAGGUAUGCAGUACCUGCCCAAGCAGCUCAGAAAUUCGGGAGCAGGGUUGAGGGUGAAGUCUACAGAGCCAGUAGGAAGUGAAGAAGUGAGAAAAGCAAGCUCAGAGGAUAUCCUUUCUGUGCAUCCCGAAUGCCUUCACAUUACUUCCCAAGUACUCUUCUUACCUUGGCUUAGCGAUGAGAGCAUGGAAAUGAUGUUUCUCUGGUGAUCCUUUUUGCUGUUGUAAGUUGGAAUUUAUUUUUAAAGCAGUGUUUGAAAGAAAUCUGUAUGCUUAACACAAACUGCCUCUCCAAAUCUCUUCUGUAAUGAGUUCUAUGCAGCAAUAACAUUUCCUAAAGGUAUGUGCAUACUUACAAAACACUGCUUUAACCAUUUGGCUGUAAGGGCUUAAUCUGUCUCUAUUAUGUUGCCUACUCAGGGUUUGUGAAGUGGCUUCUGACAUUUCUUUGUGUUAGGUCUGGUUUAUGAAGUGCUUCUCUGAAUGAAUAGUGACUCUGCAUCGAGUGCUGUGCAAAACACGGGGAGGGGAGGUGAUCUAAGCACCCAAGAGCCGAACCAGAAUUCUUCAUGCACCCAAGACAAGCCACUGACAUUGUGCUGGAAGCUUUGUUUGCAAAGAAUAAUGCUGGAUUGCACUAUAAGCAAUGGCUCUUUGCCAAACAAUACACACGUUUCUCUUGGCAUGAAAUCAUGUAAUAUAAACAAUGGCAGGGAAAAAAUAGUUUGUGGAUAAGCAUAAGCUGAGAUAUAAAAACAUCAUGUACAAUAGUGAGCAGUAGGGAGACUGGGAAAUGUAAUGCAGGUUUCCUUUCUGUUUUGUUCCUUCUUGCUGGCACUCUCGUGAACUGUGCUUAUGGCACUGUCCUUUCCAACUGCAAAAACAUGACUUAACUAUCAAACUGUAUUUCUUAACUACCAAAAUUACUUCCUCAAAAGGAUCCAAACGCCUACUGGUU
rnacentral:lncRNA from 1 species